rnacentral:rRNA from 1 species
UACGUAGGGUCCGAGCGUUGUCCGGAAUUACUGGGCGUAAAGAGCUCGUAGGUGGUUUGUCGCGUUGUUCGUGAAAACUCACAGCUUAACUGUGGGCGUGCGGGCGAUACGGGCAGACUUGAGUACUGCAGGGGAGACUGGAAUUCCUGGUGUAGCGGUGGAAUGCGCAGAUAUCAGGAAGAACACCCGUGGCGAAAGCGGCUCUCUGGAACGGUACUGACGCUGAGACGCGAAAGCGUGGGGAGCGAACAGG